rnacentral:lncRNA from 1 species
GACAAUGAGCACCCAUAAAACUGGGUUGACUGUCUUGAUGAACAACUCCAUUCGAUUCUUCCAGUAGCCAAAGUGAGCUCCUUCAAAUCUUGGAGGUCGAUUAGCUGAAAAACCAUCAGCAAGAAAAACGGCAGUUUGUGAAUCAUUCAUUUCGUUCUGAUCAGACACAAUUUCUUAACAAUUUUGGAUCAGAAAUCACCUGGAUUUGAUGCCAAUCGAACUCUUGCUCAGUGGGCAAACCUGCUCUGAUACCACUUGUUGCGAUCUAAUCCUUAUAGUUAAGAUACGGUUUUUGUAUCUGAGUGAACAAACACAGAUAAUUCAGUUCAAAGGAACUAUCGAUUCUUGCUCUGUGAUUUAAAGACAAGCAAACAACCAACUGUUUAAGCUAGCUGAAACCUAGUUAACAUUAGUAAUUCAGUUUAACAUGCAUGUGGUCUAUUGCUCAAUCAACAAGGUUUGAAAUAGACAUAAACAUAAUCGAAAUUGAAAAAGAAUGGCGUCUCUACAACCUGAGACUUUCCAGGUUUCUGACAAGGCAGUCGCUGUUGAUUUAGCUAAGCUCCAAUGCCCCAGCUUAGCUUCAGCAACAGUUGCUUGAACCAAAGCUUCGACUCUACGUGCACAAUCCUUUCCACCAAUUGUGCCCUUGAACCAGGCGAGUCCUACUUCCAGUUGAAAAGCGCAUGUGAGGCUUGGUCGCAGCCGCUAUUUAUUGUCGCUUGAUUCCUCUGCUAGCGACUAAUUCGGAGGACGAACCUUCCUCCUUUCCUUGCAUGCUCGCCUGAUUUCUCGUACAGAGAGAGGGAAGGGUUUUCGAUCGCCGACUGUUUUUCUGCGAUGUCUUGAUGAUUAUUAGGGCAGAUGCUGAAACACGCGUCAUUAGCUAUUGACUGGGCUCAGGCUGCUUGGACACGCGUCAUCAGCUGUCGGCUGGGCUCACUUGGACCAUGCUGCCUUCAUACGGGCCAUAAACCUGCAUUAUAACAGACAGACAUGUAUACAUGGAUCCAGAGUCCAUUCCAGCAGGCUUUUGUUUACAACAGCAGUGUCCAACAUCAUUCUUGCACAGCCACUUCCCCAGAUGCGGCCAUGCAUCGGCACGAGUGCGACAGAGACCUCGUCCUGUAU